GCUGAUGCGUUGUUGGGUAGGGGAGCGUUCUGUAAGCCUGCGAAGGUGGCCUGUGAGGGUUGCUGGAGGUAUCAGAAGUGCGAAUGCUGACAUAAGUAACGAUAAAGCGGGUGAAAAGCCCGCUCGCCGGAAGACCAAGGGUUCCUGUCCAACGUUAAUCGGGGCAGGGUGAGUCGACCCCUAAGGCGAGGCCGAAAGGCGUAGUCGAUGGGAAACGGGUUAAUAUUCCCGUACUUGGUGUUACUGCGAAGGGGGGACGGAGAAGGCUAUGUUGGCCGGGCGACGGUUGUCCCGGUUUAAGCGUGUAGGUGUGUGUUCCAGGUAAAUCCGGUUCACUUUAACACUGAGGCGUGACGACGAGGCACUACGGUGCUGAAGCAACAAAUGCCCUGCUUCCAGGAAAAGCCUCUAAGCAUCAGGUAACAUCAAAUCGUACCCCAAACCGACACAGGUGGUCAGGUAGAGAAUACCAAGGCGCUUGAGAGAACUCGGGUGAAGGAACUAGGCAAAAUGGUGCCGUAACUUCGGGAGAAGGCACGCUGACACGUAGGUGAAGUGAUUUACUCAUGGAGCUGAAGUCAGUCGAAGAUACCAGCUGGCUGCAACUGUUUAUUAAAAACACAGCACUGUGCAAACACGAAAGUGGACGUAUACGGUGUGACGCCUGCCCGGUGCCGGAAGGUUAAUUGAUGGGGUCAGCGCAAGCGAAGCUCCUGAUCGAAGCCCCGGUAAACGGCGGCCGUAACUAUAACGGUCCUAAGGUAGCGAAAUUCCUUGUCGGGUAAGUUCCGACCUGCACGAAUGGCGUAAUGAUGGCCAGGCUGUCUCCACCCGAGACUCAGUGAAAUUGAACUCGCUGUGAAGAUGCAGUGUACCCGCGGCAAGACGGAAAGACCCCGUGAACCUUUACUAUAGCUUGACACUGAACAUUGAGCCUUGAUGUGUAGGAUAGGUGGGAGGCUUUGAAGUGU
rnacentral:rRNA from 1 species